GCUUAACCCCUGGACUUCGAGCAUGACAUACUGACUUGCUGCCAGGUAGGCCAGGGGUUCAGGACAGCCACCUUUUUCUGCUGUAUGUGUAGCUCACGCCUGGAUUCAGUAGGGCUCACUCCCAAGUAAGUGUGUAUAGGAUUGCAGACAGAGUGUCUGUGAACUUUACUCAGCUGCUUCACUUUACAAGAGAGAUCAUCGUAGGCCAGGUCCAAGUGACAGUAGGACAAAACUCAAACAUCUGGAGUUGCAACAAAUGAGGCAGCCUAAUGUAGAGAUGGGGAACUUGUGGCCCUCUAGAUGUUCUUAGAUGCCAGCUCCCACAAGUUCCAGCCAGAAUGGCCAAAGGUCAAGGAUGAUGGGAGCUGAAGUCUAACAACAUCUGAAGGGCCACAUAGUCCCUAUCCCUGGCCCAGUGAAUGAGGAAUAAAUUGUCAAGGGAAUUCCUUACAUGCCCUUCUCAGAGAGGUAUACAUACACCCUGAAUGUCAUUUUCUGUUUUAAAAAAUGUUUUGAGCCAGUCUUAAUUUCCUGGCAUGAAUGAAUGAUGAAUUUCUGACUUCUUCCAAGCUAAACAACAAACAGAUCAGUGUGUUUUUUUCUUCACCACUGGAUGGAAUCUAUGCUCUGAAAGAUAUCAUCUUCGGCUCAAACAUGUGAAUAAUCAAUGCUUCUGUGAUGCUUCCCCAAUGUUACCUCAUAAUUACAUAUUAUAUAAUUUGAAGCACCUUGACUACAUGAACAUCAUUUGAUGUUUAUAAUGAUCGGGUGGCAGGGAUACCCAGAUCUCUUAUUUCCCCAUGCAAAGAGACCAUUAUUUAAAAUGUUGCCUCUGUUAUAUAGAUCUUUGCUUGCCAUAUUGAAUUGCAAUGCACAUUCCUCAAACCUAUGUUCAAUUUUACUUUAUGGCCAUUUAACAUCUCCAGGAAAUUUCACAUGGAACCUCUUGGCCUACCUCUGAAAAUAUCUUAGGAUAAUUACUCAAGGGGCCUUUGAAAAGUUGUAGUGCUACAUGUGUAUACAUGGGAACCCGACAUCAGAAAGCUUGGCAAAGCAAAGCAGAGGAAGAAUAUGAUGAGGUAAUUUGGUUUAUCAUACAACUCUUAAGCACAAAAUGUUUGCAUUUUCCUAUUUUGCUCUUGUGUUACUUACUGAAAUAGCUGAGCACUGAUAAUGCUAUAUUCUCAAAGCAUCUUAUUAGAUUUAAAUAAACAUGACCAGAACUGCUCGGAAAAAUUAUGUUUUCUUUUGAUCAGAUGAACACACAUGGGCCCCUCCAGAUUUUAUUGUGUGUUCAUGGUGGUAUUGGGUGAUUAUACAUUAUUCUGCUUUCAACAGUGUUAGGGGAAGGGUAGUACUACCUCUGGUGGGGGGUACAUCAUGCUCUUGUUGAGGGAGACCAGGAUGUGUGGAUCAGGACAGUUUGCAUUGAUAUCUGCAAAAAAACAGAGUGGUAUUCAGUGCUAGUCCUAUUACCAAUUGAUGGUAAUGGACAUGGCUAAUUUAGAUUCAUUAAUUUCAGUGGGUCUACUCUGAGGCCGAAUACAACCUCAAUUCCUCCACCAUUAUUACUUCUGGUCCUUUGCAUCCUUGUCUCUGUGUUCCAGAACCCAACUACUGAUCUGCCUUUAACAGCACCAUUUGGCUUUUUUAUGCUUUUCUGCCUUUUCCUCAGCUGCAUCCCAACUCUGGACCGACAGUAUUCCUUCUAGUAAGAAAGCAAUGGUGUUAAAAUGACUGUCAUAAAUGAUCUUGUAUAUGUAAUCGCAGUACCCAUACAGUCUUCUCUUCCUUCGUGUCACAUUUUGAUAAAUAAUGAGGCCUGUAUAUUCAGACACACUCAGCACUUUCAGACAGUUUUGAUCUUAAUAGAAGCUGAGAAUAUUCAAACCCCAGCACAAGACACUGUUUAGAGCUGAACAGAUAAUGGCCAGACCACUAGUGAAGGCUAAAGUCCACCUGACAAGAUCAAACACAAAUCGUAUCUCCACAGAAAUGUGCCUGGUGUUGCUCUCAGGCAGUACAAAACAACUCAUUCUUUCUGCCACAAAAAUUCCAACAGAAUCAGAUAGGCCCUUGAGCCACCAGCUGCUCCUUUACUUUGUGGCUCAAAGAAUGCGUCUGAAUUUGAAAACUUGUCACCAAGCUGAAUCUGUGACACACCUGUCUCUCUUGUCUGUCUCAUUCAGAAAAGCCUUACAGGGUAAGGCCGUAAAAUUGAGAUUUAACAAGACAUCGCAGAAUGCUAAACGUAACAUACAGUACAUGCUCCAUAUGCCCCACAAUGGGAACGUCCUCAUGUGUUACAGUUUGUAAACAGGGACAACAGCUGUGGAAUGCCAUUGGCGGCCCCCCAUUAAUUCUGAGAGGACUGUCAGACAAAACAUUAGAUGAACUUCUCUCUUUUUUUAAAGGAACCGGAGAUUAACCAACCAUUUGUGUUAUUUGGCAUCAAAGAGAAGACACCACCGAGCAUGAGCACCGCAAAUCAUCAAACAGUAGC